rnacentral:rRNA from 1 species
GAUGAACGCUGGUGGCGUGCCUAAUACAUGCAAGUCGAGCGAAUGGAUUGAGAGCUUGCUCUUAUGAAGUUAGCGGCGGACGGGUGAGUAACACGUGGGUAACCUGCCCAUAAGACUGGGAUAACUCCGGGAAACCGGGGCUAAUACCGGAUAACAUUUUGAACCGCAUGGUUCGAAAUUGAAAGGCGGCUUCGGCUGUCACUUAUGGAUGGACCCGCGUCGCAUUAGCUAGUUGGUGAGGUAACGGCUCACCAAGGCAACGAUGCGUAGCCGACCUGGGAGGGGGGUCGGCCACAGUGGGACUGAGACACGGCCCAGACGCCUACGGGAAGCAGCAGUAGGGAAUCUUCCGCAAUGGACGAAAGUCUGACGGAGCAACGCCGCGUGAGUGAUGAAGGCUUUCGGGUCGUAAAACUCUGUUGUUAGGGAAGAACAAGUGCUAGUUGAAUAAGCUGGCACCUUGACGGUACCUAGCCAGAAAGCCACGGCUAACUACGUGCCAGCAGCCGCAGUAA